GCUUAACACAUGCAAGUCGAGGGGCAUCAGGAAGAAAGCUUGCUUUCUUUGCUGGCGACCGGCGCACGGGUGAGUAACACGUAUCCAACCUGCCCUUUACUCGGGGAUAGCCUUUCGAAAGAAAGAUUAAUACCCGAUAGCAUAAUGAUUCCGCAUGGUUUCAUUAUUAAAGGAUUCCGGUAAAGGAUGGGGAUGCGUUCCAUUAGGUUGUUGGUGAGGUAACGGCUCACCAAGCCUUCGAUGGAUAGGGGUUCUGAGAGGAAGGUCCCCCACAUUGGAACUGAGACACGGUCCAAACUCCUACGGGAGGCAGUAGUGAGGAAUAUUGGUCAAUGGGCGCUAGCCUGAACCAGCCAAGUAGCGUGAAGGAUGAAGGCUCUAUGGGUCGUAAACUUCUUUUAUAUAAGAAUAAAGUGCAGUAUGUAUACUGUUUUGUAUGUAUUAUAUGAAUAAGGAUCGGCUAACUCCGUGCCAGCAGCCGCGGUAAUACGGAGGAUCCGAGCGUUAUCCGGAUUUAUUGGGUUUAAAGGGAGCGUAGGUGGACUGGUAAGUCAGUUGUGAAAGUUUGCGGCUCAACCGUAAAAUUGCAGUUGAUACUGUCAGUCUUGAGUACAGUAGAGGUGGGCGGAAUUCGUGGUGUAGCGGUGAAAUGCUUAGAUAUCACGAAGAACUCCGAUUGCGAAGGCAGCUCACUGGACUGCAACUGACACUGAUGCUCGAAAGUGUGGGUAUCAAACAGGAUUAGAUACCCUGGUAGUCCACACAGUAAACGAUGAAUACUCGCUGUUUGCGAUAUACAGUAAGCGGCCAAGCGAAAGCAUUAAGUAUUCCACCUGGGGAGUACGCCGGCAACGGUGAAACUCAAAGGAAUUGACGGGGGCCCGCACAAGCGGAGGAACAUGUGGUUUAAUUCGAUGAUACGCGAGGAACCUUACCCGGGCUUAAAUUGCAGUGGAAUGAUGUGGAAACAUGUCAGUGAGCAAUCACCGCUGUGAAGGUGCUGCAUGGUUGUCGUCAGCUCGUGCCGUGAGGUGUCGGCUUAAGUGCCAUAACGAGCGCAACCCUUAUCUUCAGUUACUAACAGGUCAUGCUGAGGACUCUGGAGAGACUGCCGUCGUAAGAUGUGAGGAAGGUGGGGAUGACGUCAAAUCAGCACGGCCCUUACGUCCGGGGCUACACACGUGUUACAAUGGGGGGUACAGAAGGCAGCUAGCGGGUGACCGUAUGCUAAUCCCAAAAGCCUCUCUCAGUUCGGAUCGAAGUCUGCAACCCGACUUCGUGAAGCUGGAUUCGCUAGUAAUCGCGCAUCAGCCACGGCGCGGUGAAUACGUUCCCGGGCCUUGUACACACCGCCCGUCAAGCCAUGGGAGCCGGGGGUACCUGAAGUACGUAACCACGAGGAUCGUCCUAGGGUAAAACUGGUGACUGGGGC
rnacentral:rRNA from 1 species